UCUAUAAAUGUUAAAAGGGAAACUAACUAAAACAGGUACACAUUUAACAGAAAAUAAAGCACAACCAACAUUGCAAGAGAACAAAUAGAAAUCCUCACCAACAUUACAUUAGCAUCUCCAGCCAUUUCUAAUCACAUAAUUUCGAAAUAUAAAUAUCAAAUUACAUUUUUUGUUUCUUUUGAAAAAUUAGAUAACAAGCUAUUACAACUACUGGAAUCACUAAAAUGCAGGUGGUACCCUAGAGAUAUUUAUUUUCGUAUAUCGAACACAAUAAGACGGGAACUACACUGUUGAAAAUCCACAAGCAAAGUUCUCAGAGAAAAUUACUAAGGCACUCGACAAUGAAGCUGAACACUUUUAGAUUCUCUAUGUGAGUUUUAAAUAAAGUUGUCCUCGCCUUUACAUAAUCAUUUAUCACAACCACAUAUUCCUAAUUUAUCACCAUAAAUCAAUCAUUAAAUGCAUUACUUAACGAGCCAAAAAUCAACUCAAAGUAGUUUUGUGCCUUCAAAUUAGAGUGAGUUACAAUGAUGAUUUAGCUAUAAAAAUUAAAAAUUAACAAUAAAAUAAUGAUAAUACUGAUAAUGAUAAAAAUUAUACUAGUAGUAAUAAAACAGGAACAAUAUAUGACAAAAAUGAAGGACAAGAAACCUUGCAAAAGACACAGAACUAAGAGAUUUGCUGAUUAUGGUGGAAAAUCAAACUAGGAUGGUCCAAGAACCAACAAGAAAAUCCCAUAUGCUUAAGCAAAGUGCUUCAGUAUAACCACGUAUAAUAAACAAACUACUAAGUAAUGGACUGCUACACAGGAAAGUCCAAAUGUAGAUAAAGAUAAACUUAAAAUUAUCAAAUUAUAAAAUUAAAGAACAUGGGUUAAGAACUGAUACAUAUCUGUACUUAAAAUUAUAAGAAAAUACAAAAGUAUGGAGAGAAGGUGAAGAGAGAGAAUUUGCAGGUAAACAAUAGACAGUGGCCUAUUAUCUGCCUAACCCAAGAUGUUGGAUCUAAUCCCUCCUUAUUAGGGACAAUGAAAAUCUUCCAAUUUCAUUGGCCAAUUAAUUUGGAAUAAUACUGCUGAUAAUAGCAUUAAGUGGAGGGUUUCUCAAUCUUCAAUUUGGAAGACUAUGAAAGGAGCCUUGGAGUUAUACCAGCAUUCCAACUAAAAUUGUCUAAAGAGAGAGUUCGGAGCAAGAGUGUCCUUCAUGGAUCCUUCAUGAUAUAUGAGAGUAUCCAAUUGGAUACAAGGUCCAGGCUAGAGAUUAACUCUUGAGUGGUAUUUACUUGUACUUGUUUGUUCUCUCUUCCAGUGAAGUUGGAUAGUCUGGACGUAGGCAUAAUUACUCUGAACCACAUAAAUAUUGGUAUGCCUUUUCAUCUCUGACUACUUUUUUAAAUUAUUUCCACAAUUUGUAUUUGUCGUGAUUAGGGGAUUCAUGUCACCUAUAGAUGAUGUCAAGAACAGCUAUGACAGAUACAAAUGAAAAUUUUCAAUUGAACAAAACAAGUAACAAGUAAACAA